UAGAGUUUGAUCAUGGCUCAGAUUGAACGCUGGCGGCAGGCCUAACACAUGCAAGUCGAGCGGUAUCAUGUCUAGCUUGCUAGAUGAUGACGAGCGGCGGACGGGUGAGUAAUGCUUGGGGAUCUGCCUUAGAGUGGAGGAUAACCAUUGGAAACGAUGGCUAAUACUGCAUAGUAUCUGCGGAUUAAAGGGGGCUUAGGCUCUUGCUUUAAGAUGAACCCAAGUGGGAUUAGCUAGUUGGUGAGGUAAUGGCUCACCAAGGCGACGAUCCCUAGCUGGUCUGAGAGGAUGAUCAGCCACACUGGAACUGAGACACGGUCCAGACUCCUACGGGAGGCAGCAGUGGGGAAUAUUGCACAAUGGGCGAAAGCCUGAUGCAGCCAUGCCGCGUGUGUGAAGAAGGCCCUAGGGUUGUAAAGCACUUUCAGUCAGGAGGAAAGGUUAGUAGUUAAUACCUGCUAGCUGUGACGUUACUGACAGAAGAAGCACCGGCUAACUUCGUGCCAGCAGCCGCGGUAAUACGAGGGGUGCAAGCGUUAAUCGGAAUUACUGGGCGUAAAGCGAGCGUAGGCGGCUGAAUAAGCUGGAUGUGAAAAACCGGGGCUCAACCUCGGCCGUGCAUUCAGAACUGUUUAGCUAGAGUCCUGUAGAGGGGGGUAGAAUUUCA
rnacentral:rRNA from 1 species